GUGUCAGCCGCCGCGGUAAUACGAAGGAUGCAAGCGUUAUCCGGAUUCACUGGGUUUAAAGGGUGUGCAGGUGGGGUAAUAAGUCAGUGGUGAAAGCCCCCGACUCAAUCGGGGAACUGCCAUAGAUACUGUUAUUCUUGAGUGUGGUUGAGGCGGAUGGAAUAUGACAUGUAGCGGUGAAAUGCUUAGAUAUGUCAUAGAACACCGAUCGCGAAGGCAGUCCGCCAAACCAUUACUGACACUGAAACACGAAAGUGCGGGGAUCAAACAGGAUUAGAUACCCUGGUAGUCC
rnacentral:rRNA from 1 species